rnacentral:sRNA from 1 species
GGGUAUUUCAUUAUUGAUUAAUAUAACUCACACACAUAUCGACACAUGCUCCGGGGUGCCCGUUUAGGGUCGGAUGUAUGGGAUAUGUGGAGGCCUAACC